UGGGGUCCUGGAGUACCCUCUGACUGGAGU
rnacentral:piRNA from 1 species